AACGCACCUUGCGCUCCUUGGUAUUCCGAGGAGCAUGCCUGUUUGAGUGUCAUUAAAUUCUCAACCUCACCAACUUUGUUGUGUGAAGGCUUGGAUGUGGGGGUUGCAGGUCCGCACUCGUGUGGUCUGCUCCUCUAAAACGUAUUAGUGGGUUAGUCCCCUAAUCUAUUGGUGUGAUAAUUAUCUACGCCGUGGAUUUGGAAGGCUAUCAUAGACCUGCUUCUAACUGUCCUCUGGACAACCUUGACAAUUUUGACCUCAAAUCAGGUAAGACUACCCGCUGAACUUAA
rnacentral:misc_RNA from 1 species